rnacentral:rRNA from 1 species
UCGGGAAUUUUGGGCAAUGGGCGAAAGCCUGAUCCAGCCAUGCCGCGUGUGUGAAGAAGGUCUUCGGAUUGUAAAGCACUUUAAGUUGGGAGGAAGGGCCAUUACCUAAUAUGUGAUGGUUUUGACGUUACCGACAGAAUAAGCACCGGCUAACUCUGUGCCAGCAGCCGCGGUAAUACAGAGGGUGCAAGCGUUAAUCGGAAUUACUGGGCGUAAAGCGCGCGUAGGUGGUUUGUUAAGUUGGAUGUGAAAUCCCCGGGCUCAACCUGGGAACUGCAUUCAAAACUGACUGACUAGAGUAUGGUAGAGGGUGGUGGAAUUUCCUGUGUAGCGGUGAAAUGCGUAGAUAUAGGAAGGAACACCAGUGGCGAAGGCGACCACCUGGACUGAUACUGACACUGAGGUGCGAAAGCGUGGGGAGCAAACAGGAUUAGAUACCCUUGUAGUCCCUGAGCGGGCUGGCAAGGCGCAU